UACGUAGGGUGCAAGCGUUGUUCGGAAUUACUGGGCGUAAAGGGCGCGUAGGCGGCCUUCUAAGUCGAACGUGAAAUCCCUGGGCUCAACCCAGGAACUGCGUCCGAUACUGGUUGGCUUGAAUCCGGGAGAGGGACGUGGAAUUCCAGGUGUAGCGGUGAAAUGCGUAGAUAUCUGGAGGAACACCGGUGGCGAAGGCGACGUCCUGGACCGGCAUUGACGCUGAGGCGCGAAAGCCAGGGGAGCAAACGGG
rnacentral:rRNA from 1 species